GCAGUGAUGGUUCAGUGGUAGAAUUCUUGCUUUCCACGUGGGAGACCCAGGUUAGAUUCCUGGCCAAUGCA
rfam:Loxodonta africana unplaced genomic scaffold scaffold_48, whole genome shotgun sequence.